CGCUGCAUGUAUGUACAUAUUUGCAAAUAUGCAUUACCUAAUGCAAUUUUAUGGCACUCGUCCACAUGGGGAAUUCUUUGUACGUUGACAUGAAUACGUCUACACCGAACCCUUUGUUCUCGGAUUGAUAACAAAUAAGCUAUGUAUUGCGUCUGAUUUACGUAUAAAUAUGACAGCUAUAACGAACGUCGAUCAUUGCAGACAUUAAGCUUGCAACAUGAAGUUCUAUACGCUCUUCGCUUUCGUGCUAGCCAUGCUGGCUAUGGCAUUUGCUAUUCCUAAUCCUGAGCUCCGACCCAUUUCUGAGCUAUAUCCUGGCGGCGGUGGCGGUGGUGGAGGAGGAGGUGGCGGCGGUGGUGGCGGAGGUGGUGGUGGUAAAUAAGGCAGUCAGAGGAUGGUUUAUAUUUGUCUUUAAUUUUUUUUGGAAAGCGAUUAUAUUACUUUAAAACAUUUAUAUAAUAAACAACAUAAUAAAUACAUA